UUGAAAGUUAAUUUUACCUCUAGUUGAUGAAUGUCUUCUUUAUCUUUAAAUGUGGAAUGACAUGUGAAGUUUGCCUUAGACAUUGUGGUCCUGCAUUGUAGCUUUGCAACAAUUUGCUUCCCUACUUCUCUUGUAUCGGGUUCCUCCCUCUACUUAGUUCAUUGGCUUAUCACGAUCCCAUUUCAAUUUAAUUGGAGCUUUCUCAUUCUAGUGUCUUCUAAUUCUUAGUUCUGGUGCAGGUGUCUGGUUUGAAGUCCAUCACAUCUAAACACUGGCAUUGGAUUAGUUUCGUACAUUUAAGUGUGCUACCUUUAAUUCCCCUUUAUUAUCAUCUGAAUGGAAAAGGUAAUAUUUUAAGGAGGCAACGUAGCAAUAGAGAGGACACGACUUGGACAAGAAAUUAUAGUUGCAAUUUCAGUAGGAAAACAAACUACAUUGAUGAUGAUAAUUUAAAAGAUGAACGGGGAUGGGGGGCGGCGGAAGGGGGAACAAUGACCUCCUGAAUGAUAUGCUGCAGAGCAUGAGAGAAGACCAAUUCCAUGAUUCAUCUCUCUUAUAAGUAAUUGAAAUUCAUCUCCUGAAAUAUAUACAUGAUUAUAUUUACUGAUCCCAACUCAAGUAAUUGAAAUUCAUCUCCUUUAAUUUUAGUUUGUGUUUUUGGUUUCCAUCUUUUAAUUUUGUUUAGUUUAGAUUGAAUAAAGACAUUACUUUAGUAUUGUUUUUACUUGGAUAUGACCUUUCUCUGUAAUUUUCUCACCUGAUGAAUAACUUUUGGUAAAGGAUGCAUUUUGUUAAGGGACUUGUGAUGAUGAACACAACUACCCCAAUCCUAAAGGAAUCUUUGGGAAUUACAAACAUGUAAAACAAAGUUAUAAGAUCCAACUAAAUCCAUUCCACUUUGUUGUUGGCUGUGAAGAUUCAUCUGACAAUAAGGAGCACUGGAUCAAAACAGAUGCCGAUUGUAAGUGUGCAAUUACAAAAACCGUUAAUUAAUUCUCAAAUAUACAUAUAUAAUGACUGAGACUUUUAAUUAUGCUACAAACUUGGUGUUGGAGAUCUGAAGAGAGAAAGGGAAAAAUAAUUGAAGAUCCUGCAGCAGCAAUAUAUGAUAUGAAAUUGAAAAGAGUACGUUUGGGAAAAGAAUUAAGAAAGAGAGGUAGUCCCUCUAAUUACCUCUUAAUAGUGUAUAAUUUGACUGCCUAAUUACAGAAAUAGGCAAAAACGUUAAAAAUUACGGAAAUGGGGAAGUCGUUGGGGGGCUGGACGACUUCGAAAGAAGAAGUCGUGCCCCCCUGCACGACUUCACAUUAUUCACAUGAACAGUAGUGAAGUCAUGCACCCCAAAAACGAUUUCUGGGCUUCGUAAUCGAUUACAUUGAGCUGUAAUCGAUUACAACAUUAUAAAAUCGUGCCCCCCUGCACGACUUCAGCUUUGUAGGAAAAAAUGGGCCUGGUAAUCGAUUACAGACCCCUUGUAAUCGAUUACCAGAUGGUUUUUAUGUAGUUACAGCCUUGGUAAUCGCUUACCAGUCUAGGUAAUGGGCAAAUUGUCCCUGGUAAUCGAUUACAUGUCAGUGGUAAUCGAUUACCAGAGGAAUUGGAGUGUUGAAAAACAUUUUUAUGAGUUGUUGUAGAAAUUUUUAUUAUGUUUUUGUCUAUUUCUGUAAUUAGGCAGUCAAAUUUGCCUAUAUCCGUACAAAAGCCCUACUUUUCCUUUUAUUUUUCUUGUUCUCUUCUUACCUAUCUCUUUUAUACUAUUUAAUUUAACAAAACAUUAUAGUAUUAUUCUCUUUAUCAAUCCAUUUUGAUCAAUAACUUUAAAAUUGAUAUAUAUUUAAAUUAAGUGUUGUUUAUUAAUUUUAAUGUUUAAUCUUUUGUUAUUUUCUUUAUCCAACAAUUUUGAUCAAUAGUUUUAGAAUCAAUAUUAAGUUUUGUUUGAAUGAAAAUUAACCUUAAUAUUUAAUCUUCCUAUAACUAGAGUUCAUUAUACAUACGUAGUUAAAUAGUGGGUGAGUUUUUUUUUUCUUAUAAGUAUGUACUUCAUUACUCUUAUUUCGUUAAUUACCAAUAAUAUUGAUUUAUUAAAUCAUUAAUAAUACUAACUUCGAGAAAAGUUAGAAAUAUGGACUAUCCUUUAAGAUAAAAUUAAAUAAAAUAGUAUAUCUAAUCACUAACAAUAUUAACCUCGAACUCUAUCUUUAAAAAGAAAAACAUUGAAAAUGGUUCACGGUGUUAGAUAUCUAGACUAAUUACCCGUAUUAAGCUCCUGCCUGUAUAUCUAAUAGAUAGUUUUGUUUAAAAGUUUGGUUCUAAAAUUUAAUUUAUAUAAUAUAAAUUUAUCGAUUGUAUUUACAUUUAAAAAGCUAAUAAUAUUACAAAUAUAAAUCAUUAAUUGCAAUAUAGUGAAAAAUCUCUAUUCAAUCAUGAAAACACGUAAAGUAGAAUACCAAUCAUUCUACCGUUAGAAUUUUAUUUCGAAUUGUGUAAAAACAACACGAAAAGAAGAAGGUAUGAAAAAACAAGAAGAAAAAU
rnacentral:lncRNA from 1 species